GGUGAUCACUUACUCCAGUCGUCAUGUCUACAAUAACUUGACUGAGGAACAGAAGGGCCGAGUGGCCUUUGCUUCCAAUUUCCUGGCAGGAGAUGCCUCCUUGCAGAUUGAACCUCUGAAGCCCAGUGAUGAGGGCCGGUACACCUGCAAGGUUAAGAAUUCAGGGCGCUACGUGUGGAGCCAUGUCAUCUUAAAAGUCUUAGUGAGACCAUCCAAGCCCAAGUGUGAGUUGGAAGGAGAGCUGACAGAAGGAAGUGACCUGACUUUGCAGUGUGAGUCAUCCUCUGGCACAGAGCCCAUUGUGUAUUACUGGCAGCGAAUCCGAGAGAAAGAGGGAGAGGAUGAACGUCUGCCUCCCAAAUCUAGGAUUGACUACAACCACCCUGGGCGAGUUCUGCUGCAGAAUCUUACCAUGUCCUACUCUGGACUGUACCAGUGCACAGCAGGCAAUGAAGCUGGGAAGGAAAGCUGUGUGGUGCGAGUAACUGUACAGUAAAAUAGAUGUACAAAGCAUCGGCAUGGUUGCAGGAGCAGUGACAGGCAUAGUGGCUGGAGCCCUGCUGAUUUUCCUCUUGGUGUGGCUGCUAAUCCGAAGGAAAGACAAAGAAAGAUAUGAGGAAGAAGAGAGACCUAAUGAAAUUCGAGAAGAUGCUGAAGCUCCGAAAGCCCGUCUUGUGAAACCCAGCUCCUCUUCCUCAGGCUCUCGGAGCUC
rnacentral:sRNA from 1 species